rnacentral:rRNA from 1 species
CCUACGGGCGGCAGCAGUGAGGAAUAUUGGUCAAUGGACGAGAGUCUGAACCAGCCAAGUAGCGUGAAGGAUGACUGCCCUAUGGGUUGUAAACUUCUUUUAUAAAGGAAUAAAACGAGGCACGUGUGCCUGUUUGCAUGUACUUUAUGAAUAAGGAUCGGCUAACUCCGUGCCAGCAGCCGCGGUAAUACGGAGGAUCCGAGCGUUAUCCGGAUUUAUUGGGUUUAAAGGGAGCGUAGAUGGGUUGUUAAGUCAGUUGUGAAAGUUUGCGGCUCAACCGUGAAAUUGCAAUUGAUACUGGCAGUCUUGAGUGCAGUUGAGGUAGGCGGAAUGCGUGGUGUAGCGGUGAAAUGCUUAGAGAUCACGCAGAACUCCGAUUGCGAAGGCAGCUUACUAAGCUGCCACUGACAUUGAUGCUCGAAAGUGUGGGUAUCAAACAGGAUUAGAUACCCGUGUAGUC